AUGAACGCUGGCGGCGUGCUUAACCCAUGCAAGUCGAACGAUGAAGCCCAGCUUGCUGGGUGGAUUAGUGGCGAACGGGUGAGUAACACGUGAGUAACCUGCCCUUAACUCUGGGAUAAGCCUGGGAAACUGGGUCUAAUACCGGAUAGGAGCGCCUACCGCAUGGUGGGUGUUGGAAAGAUUUAUCGGUUUUGGAUGGACUCGCGGCCUAUCAGCUUGUUGGUGAGGUAAUGGCUCACCAAGGCGACGACGGGUAGCCGGCCUGAGAGGGUGACCGGCCACACUGGGACUGAGACACGGCCCAGACUCCUACGGGAGGCAGCAGUGGGGAAUAUUGCACAAUGGGCGAAAGCCUGAUGCAGCGACGCCGCGUGAGGGAUGACGGCCUUCGGGUUGUAAACCUCUUUCAGUAGGGAAGAAGCGAAAGUGACGGUACCUGCAGAAGAAGCACCGGCUAACUACGUG
rnacentral:rRNA from 1 species